UACGGAGGGUGCAAGCGUUAUCCGGAUUCACUGGGCUUAAAGGGCGCGUAGGUGGGUUGGUAAGUCAGUGGUGAAAUCCCCGAGCUUAACUUGGGAACUGCCAUUGAUACUAUCAGUCUUGAAUACUGUGGAGGUUAGCGGAAUAUGUCAUGUAGCGGUGAAAUGCUUAGAUAUGACAUAGAACACCAAUUGCGAAGGCAGCGGGCUAGACAAUUAUUGACACUGAGGCGCGAAAGCGUGGGGAGCAAACAGG
rnacentral:rRNA from 1 species